GGCUUCUGGUCCAACUCUCUCAUUUUCCAUUUUAAAAAACAGCUAUCUGACAUCCAUUUGUACUCCAGUAACACACUUCCUAUUAUUGUAAUCACCUAUUGGCUUUUAGAUAUUCAAAUUGCAUAUCCAGACAAAUUCCUUCAUACUCAUAUGGUGAACAGAAUUAUUUACAACCUGAUAGAGGAGUAGGAAGGAUUUUGUUCAACCUACUCACCAUAAUUUGUUUCAUCUCGGAAAUAAGGAAGCAAGGUCAGUGAAUCAGUCUUAUAAGUGAAAGGAAAGGAGU
rnacentral:lncRNA from 1 species